rnacentral:rRNA from 1 species
AGUAAUAUAUCGGAACGUACCCAGAAGUGGGGGAUAACGUAGCGAAAGUUACGCUAAUACCGCAUACGAUCUACGGAUGAAAGUGGGGGACCUUCGGGCCUCAUGCUUUUGGAGCGGCCGAUAUCUGAUUAGCUAGUUGGUGAGGUAAAGGCUCACCAAGGCGACGAUCAGUAGCUGGUCUGAGAGGACGACCAGCCACACUGGGACUGAGACACGGCCCAG